rnacentral:rRNA from 1 species
AAUAGCCUAACGGCUGAACCAGCAACUUGGAGGAAUGUAUAGCAAUAGCUAAUUGCACCAACAAACAGUUGAUGCAAUAUCGACUAUGUCGAAUAAAAUUCUAGGUAGAAUUAUGAUAAUGACAUUAUCUGCCUAUGUGUCUUGACCAAAUUACGUGCCAGCAGUCGCGGUAAUACGUAGAAGACUAGUGUUAUUCAUCUUUAAUAGGUUUAAAGGGUACCCAGACGGUAAAUCAAGCCCUAAAGGGGGGACUAAUUUACUAGAGUUACUUGUGAAGGGGUAUUAAAGUACUGAUGGUGUAGAGAUGAAAUUUUGUGAUACCUCUUCUAUUUGAUAGAAUUAAUGGCACAGAUAUAGGCGAAAGCAUCCCCUUAUGUGAUAACUGACGUUGAAGGACGAAGGCUUUGUGUCGCGAACAGGAUUAGAUACCCUAGUAGUCAAAGCAGAAAAUGAUGAAUGUCAUAGAUUAGACAUACAGUUUAUUCUAUAAAUGAAAGUGUAAGCAUUCCACCUCAAGAGUAAUUUGGCAACAUUGGAACUGAAAUCAUUAGACCGUAUCCGAAAUAGAGAUUGUUUCUGUUCUAGCUCUACACUAUUAUAAUAUGAUAUUGUUUGUGUCAUGUUUAUAAUAUUCUUUUUCUAUACAUAUAAAAUAUAUUUACAAGCGUUGCACGGCUGUCUUCAGUUAAUGUCGUGAGAUUUUGGUUAGUUCCAUUAAAUUAACGUAAACCCUUGCUUUAUUUUUACAUAAAGUGGUUCGCCAGUACAGAGGAGAUGAUAACAGGGACUAAGACAAGUCAUCAUGGCCUGAAUAUUGU